rnacentral:rRNA from 1 species
AUGGGACGUCCGUCGUCCGGCGGCGCGGGGCAGCCCAAGCUCCGCAAGGGGCUCUGGUCGCCCGAGGAGGACGAGAAGCUCUACAACCACAUCAUCCGGCACGUCGUCGGCUGCUGGAGCUCCGUCCCCAGGCUGGCCGGGCUGAACCUCUGCGGCAAGAGCUGCCGCCUCCGGUGGAUCAACUACCUCCGCCCCGACCUCAAGCGCGGCUGCUUCUUGCAGCAGGAGGAGGACCACAUCGUCGCGCUCCACCACAUCCUCGGCAACAGGUCAAUGGUCACAGAUCGCGUCGCACCUGCCGGGCCGGACGGACAACGAGAUCAAGAACUUCUGGAACAGCUGCAUCAAGAAGAAGGUCCGGCAGGAGGGCCUCGACCCCGCCACGCACAAACGGACAAACCCAUGGCCGCCGCCGACACGGCCACGGCGGCAUUGUCCGACGCGGAAGAGGAGGAGCGCAAGCCCCUUGCCGCGGCGGCCGGCGGCAGCAUCGCUCCGAGGCAGCCGGCGGUGUUCGACCCGUUCCCGGUGUGCGCCGACGGCCUCGGCGCGGCGAACGCUGCGGCAUUGUACGGCCAGUUCUGCGGUGGAAAGGAGGGCGCGGACUUCGAAGACGCCGGGUUCUGCGCCGCGGACGACAGCUGCGUGUUGGACGUCCCGGAGAACCUGGGCUACGGGGAGAGCUCCAGCAACAGCAGCAACCGGAACUACGGCGGUGAGGUGGGCAGCAUGCUCGACGGCGAGGUGGGAAGCGUGCUCGAUGGCGAGGUGCUACACUGGGCCAAGGCGGAGCUGGCCUUCGCGGAUAUGGAGUAUGAGUUCUCGCUGCCCUGCCAAGAGCAGAGCCUCCUCCCAAAUUUCGAGUUCAACAUGGAACACUACUUCUGA